GCACCAUUAGCGUAAUUGGAUAGCGCAAGAGGCUUCUAUCCUCUGGGUUUCAGGUUCGAAUCCUGAAUGGUGCACCA
rnacentral:tRNA from 1 species